AGCUUUGAGCAGUGGCAGUAUUCAUAGCCUGUGAAGUUUAUCCGAGGUGUAAUUCUUGCUAAUUGGAAACUUUUCCCAAUACCCCGUUGUGACGACUUGAAAUAGAGUCAGCACUGGCAAUUUUUGACAGUCUCUAUGGAGA